rnacentral:lncRNA from 1 species
UUUUUUUUUUUUUUUUUUUUUUUUUUUUUUUGGCUUGAUGACCUUCUAAAGGGGCACUGGAAUGGUGUUUCUGGUUUCUCUUUGAGAGUCUCCUAUCUUCCCCAGGGAAUGUAAUUUGUCUUCUACCUCUGGCUGUCUUUAUGUCCUGCCUGGGGGUCUAAGCCUCAGUAUAAAUAGUUUGGCAGUUGAGUGGGGUGGGCGCUGUGGGUCCCACUGUUAAGGAUGUGAAUUUUCUCUGAAUCCUCCUUUGGGUAUAGCAUGUCUGCCUUCGGCUGGGUCUGCAUCCUUGAGAACAGAGUAAGCCUUCGUUUGGUCAGCGUUAAGGGGCUGUUGCUAGCAGCACAGGGGUGGCGGGGGUGGGAGGAUUUGUUCUUCUUAGUGCCCCCUCACUUCUCUUGGAGAUUCCUGAAGCCUCCAGUUUCCCGAGGCUUUCCUGGUGUGAACCGUAUACUUCCUGGGAGCCUACACUUCAGAAUAAAGGGUCAGAUUUUGUGGGUCUACUUGAUCUGUUCCCUCUUGUCCAUCAGCCCAUCUACCUCACAGCUUCUACAAUUUUGUUUUUCCUCAUGUUUCUCAUAGUGUGUUUGUGUCAUUUAGAUUCCCCUUUUCUUAUUAUAGCUAUUUAUUUAUUUAUACAUUCAUUUAUUUAUUCCAGGCACUGUUAUUAAAAUUUUUUUUUUCAAUUUAAUUUUUAUUUUCUAUUGAAGUUUGCUUGAUUUGCAGUGUUAUGUUAGUUGCAAAUGCACAGCAAGGCGAUUCAGUUAUACGUUUAAAUAUAACCAUUCUUUUUCAGAUUCUUUUCCCAUACAGGUUAUUACUGAAGAUCGAGUUGAGUUUCCUCCACUAUAGAGUAGGUCCUUGUUGAUUAUUUUAUAUAUAGUAGUGUGUAUAUGUUAGCCCCAUACUCCUAAUUUAUCCUUCCCCCCACCUUUCCUCUUUGGUAAUCAUUAACUUGUUUUGAUUUGUGAAUCUGUUUCUGUUUUGUAAAUAAGUUCUUUUAUAUCGUUUUAAAAGAUUACACAUAUAAGUGAUAUCAUAUGAUAUUUUGUCUUUCUUUUUCUGACUUCACUUAGUAUGAUAAUCUCUAGGUCCAUCCAUGUUGCUGCAAAUGGCACUGGCUGGGUAAUAGUCCAUUGUAUAAAUAUACCACAUCUUCUUCAUCCAUUCCUCUGUCAAUGGACAUUUAGGUUGCCUCCAUGUCUUGGUUAUUAUAAAUAGUGCUGUAAUGAACAUUAGGGUGCCUGUGUCUUUCCAAAUUACAGUUUUCUCCAGAUAUGCCCAGGAAUAGGAUUGUCAGAUCAUAUGGUAAUUCUAUUUUUAGUUUUUUAAGGAACCUCUAUAUUUUUCUCUUUGGUGGUUGUAUAAUUUACAUUCCCACCAACAGUGUAGGUGGAUUCCCUUUUCUCUACACCCUCUUCAGCAUUUAUUGUUUAUAGACAUUUCAAUGAUGGCCAUUCUGACUGAUGUGAGGUGAUGCUUCAUUAUAGUUUUGAUUUACAUUCUCCAAUAAUUAAUGAUGUUGAAUAUUUUUUCACAUGCUUUUUGGCAGUCUGUAUGUCUUUGGAGAAAUCUUUGUUUAGAUCUUCUGCCCAUUUUUUGGGUUGUUUGGUUUUGAUAUUGAGCUGCAUGAAAUGUUUAUAUGUUUUGGAGGGUACUCCCUUGUUGGUCACUUUGUUUGCAAAUACUUUCUCCCAUUCUGUGGGCUGUCUUUUCAUUUUGUUUAUGGUUUCCUUUGCCGUGCAAAAGCUUUUGAGUGUAAUUAGCUCCCAUUUGUUUAUUUUUAGUUUUAUUUUCAUUACUUUAGGAGGUGGAUCCAAAAAGAUAUUACUGUGAUUUUUGUCAAAGAGUAUUCUGCCUAUGUUUUCCUUUAAGCAUUUUAUAGUAUCUGGUUUUACAGUUAGGGCUUUAAUCCACUUUGAGUUUGUUUUUGUGUAUGGUGUUAGAGAAUGUUUUAAUUUCAUUCGGCUAUCUAGUUUUCCCAGCACCACUUAUUUACGAGACUGUUUUUUCUCCAUUGUAUAUUCUUGCCUUCUUUGUCUUAGACUAAUUGACCAUAGGUGUGUGGGUUUAUUUCUGGGUGGCCUAUCCUGUUCCAUUGAUCUAUAUUUCGAUUUUUUGUGCUAGUACCAUACUGUUUCAAUAAUUGUAGCUUUGUAGUAUAUUCUGAAGCCAGGAAGCCUGAUUUUUUUUCAGCUCCAUUUUUUUUUUCUUUCUCAGGAUUGCUUUGGCUAUUUUGAAUCUUUUGUGUUUCCAAACAAAUUAAAAAGUUUUUUUUGUUCUAAUUCUGUGAAAAGUGCCACUAGUAAUUUGAUGGGGAUUGCAUUGAAUCUCUGGAUUGCCUUGAGUGGUAUAGUCAUUUUGACAAUAUUGAUUUUUCCAAUCCAAGAACACAGUAUCUUUCCAUCUGUGUCAUCUUAAUUUCUUUUAUCAGUAUCUUAUAGUUUUCAGAGUACAGGUCUUUUGCCACCUUAAGUAGGUUUAUUCCUAGGUAUUUUAUUUUAUUUUUUUGAUACAAUGGUAAAUAGGAUUGUUUCCUUAAUUUCUCUUUCUGAGCUUCUGUUGUUAGUCCAGGCACUGUUCUAACAGCUUGACAUUAUGUCUAUUCUAACUUGUUUAAUCCUCACAAUAGUAGUGCUGUCCUCAUUUUACAGAGGAGAGAAGCUAAAUAAAGCACAGAGCAGUUGAGUUUCUUGACCAAGGUCACAGAUGUGGUCAAGCCAGAGUCCUUGCUCUGAGCUACCUACCUUCAUAUAAAACUUGCAUAUUUGCUGUUACAUUUUCUUUUCAUUUUAGUUUUUGCUAUUCUCAUCUCCUUUAGUGUUAAAAUGAAUAUAACUCUGGGCUGGACACCUUCCCACAAAAAAGGGGAAGAUGGGUAUCCCUCUUGGAGAGUCUCCCAAACUCUCCCAGAGGUCAUUCCUGGUCCUGGUCACUAGAAGGUUGGUAAAGAUGGUGCUGCCAAAAGCAGGUAAUCUCUGAGUCCCCACAGCAUCCCUGAACCCUAAGCCAUAGGGUACCUCUCACCAGCACUUUCAGUUCCCACCUGGCCAUUUUCCUGAGACUUGCCUGUGGCCCCCUGUGGUUCAAUAGGACAGAACUGACCCUCCCACCCAUUCCCUGCAGGUUGGGCCUAGCUUUUAUUGCCCAUCCCACAAAACAGCCAUGCAUCUGAGGGGCAAGCUGCAUGGCUAGAUUAAGGUUAUCCCAAUAGUCCAUAGCACUUCUCUAAAAGUGUGAGUUAUUCAGUCCUGAAUAGCUCAUCUGGAGAGUACCAAUUCCAGUCAAGCCUUCCUUUCCAGAAGACCCCUCGCCUUUGCUAAAGGAUGCAGUAAACUAAAUAUACACCCAACUCACAUAGCUCUAGCCCCUUUGUCAGCUGGCUGCCUUUCUGCCCCUUAAAUUCCUGACUUUCACAUCCCAGGAAAGCCCAGAAUUCUCUCCAUAUGACUUAACAGUUAACUACUUUCCCAGGCUUAGCAGUUUCUGAGUCCCUUUUGUCUUGGCCCCUGACUUCUCAUGUGCUAUCUUGGUUUCACCUGCAUCGACCCAGGAUGUAAAACUCAGCCUCUUUACCAGUUUCUACAAGAACUUCAACCACAUCAAACACUUCACAAUUUCUGUGGUCUUUCCUAAAGAUCAUGUCUGAGAGUGCUAUAGGGGUGAGGAUCACAUGUGCGACACACAGCAUCCUACCAUCUCCCUACCCUCCCUCUCCUUACCAUCUACUAGUUAAUUGUGUCUUGCUGAUUACGGUCCUUUAGCACCCAUUCAUUUUCCUUUUUGCCAAGAGCACUGCAAUUAUUCAUGUAUCAAGCCCUCCCCAGGCAGCAGUGCCUUGGGGAGAGCAGAGUCCAAAGGUAGACUUAAGCCAAUUGGUAUAUAUUAGUAGCUGUCAUUGGUUCAAGGAUGGGGUGUGGCCCAAUUCCAGCCAAUGAGAUGUUGCCAGGAAGCUCUAGGAAAGAAGCUUCCUUGCUCCUCUGUAGAAGGUACCUGGAGAAGCUCUCCCUCUUUUUGAAUGUGAAUGAGAAAGUAUGUGGCCUGGAAGCAAGUAGUAGCUAUACUGUGACCAUGAGGGAAGCCAGGCACAGAAUGUUUCAGAACAGGUCUUUGGUCACAUCAUUGAGUUGAGUCAGCCUCAUCUAGAAGUCACUGGACUCCCUGCCAAGGAAUGACUUUUAUUUUAAAGACAAUCUGUGCUGUUUUUACUGUUACUUGCAACUUUACAUCUCUCUUCCUUCCUCCUGGCCCCAGACCUGUUUUCUGGGUUCAGCUUCUAACCCAAGUGGGCUAAUCAAAGACAUGAUCCAUACUAAAGUUGAUUAUCCUUACAUGGAAUUCACCAACCAGUUGCUUUUUAUUCAUCAGCCACUUUCUUUUUUACUUAAAGACAGUGAAAAAUUUUAGACUUCAUCAUCUGUCUUCAGAUUCGAUUCUGUUUCAAGGACAAUGGUUGUAUUCUUGCCUUUUGGUAACUCAAGAGCACACUUGGAGAUCUUCCCUCAAAUAAAGGGAGAUGGAGCAUCAGGUGAUCAAUGACUUUAUUCUGGAAACUGAAACUGCAGGCAACCCCCAACAGGUUAUUCUCAAAAUGAUAUUUUUAAAAUGCAGAGUUUCUCUUAGUUGGGCCCACUUCUAUAUCUUUCCUACUUUACACACACACACACACAUACACACACUCCUUUCUAUAGAUGUUGGUCUCAGAAAUAGUAACUUAAUCUGCUGAAUUGCAUAUACUCUUUAUUUAUUUAAAGUGUCUUUGGAGUGACAGAGUACACAUCUGGCUGAGGGUCACUUUCUCCAAUUCUAACAGUUUCUCAGAACUCCAAGAUUGGUUUAUUAUAUUUAGCUUGCGAAAAAUAUUUUAGGAGGUAAGAGGAAACCUAGCAAAUAGCCAAAAGUGUUCGGAGAUCACUUGUAUAAAUUUCAAAUAAAAAUUCAUCAGUUUCAAACAAACAAGGCUCAUCCCAAGGAGACAGCAUUUUAAGAGCCUAAAGGAGGAGGGAGAUAGGAAAUGGAUAACAUCCUUUUAAUUUUAGCAAAUUAGGAAUAUUUUUUUUCCUGAUGGCAGAUUUUUUUUUUUCUUGAGGGAAAAAGGAAUCAGGUCUAAAAGUCUAUAUUAAUAUUGAUUAAGAUUAAGUCACUUUUUUUUUUUUGUCUUUUUAGGGCCACACCAGCAGCAUAUAGAGGUUCCCAGGCUAGUGGUUGGAUUGGAGCUAUAGCUGCCACAGCAAUGUGGGAUCCAAGCCAUGUCUGUGACCUACACGACAGUUCAUGGCAACACCGGAUCCUUAACCCACUGAGCGAGGCCAGGGAUUGAACCUGCAUCCUCAUGGAUACUAGUCAGAUUCAUUUCCACCGAGCCACGAAGGGAACUCCCAGGAUUAGGUCACUUUUUUAACCCUUAGUUUCUUUUAUUCAUUAAUCAAUAAUUAUUUGUUGAUUUCCUACUACAGAUCAGACAUAUGCUGGGAUUCAGUGGAAAGCAAGACUGGUUCCCUGACAGUUUGGAAUCUAUAGCCUAGUGACCAAAGAAAAAGUCCUGGCUACUGUCCCCUCAGCUCUCCUGGCUGUCAGCACAUGCCCUAACUGUACCAACCCUGUUACCAGACACUGCUUCUGCACUGAGGGUCUCUGAGCUUGCUAUCACCAAAACUGCCAGACCUUGAGACAAAUCUUUCCACUAAGUCAAUCCCUGAAUAUCAGCCAGAGCCACAGGCCCAGAGCCACAAAGACAGGAGGCCCCAUCUGAAAGGACCAUGUUUUAGGCCCACGAGAAUUUGAAUGAGUCAUUUUUUCCUUGGAUGAGAGUUUUUUACUUUAUUCGAUCUCUUUCCCCUCUUCCCAACUCCUAUGUCUUUAGCACAUGACUUUACUGAAAGACGACUGAGUAUUAUCAGAUCUGAAAGGACUUCACAGACUGUGGGAGCCCUUGGAUAUGGAAGGAUAGGGAAUCUGUCCUGUGUUCAGGUUAGUUGUGCCAAGUGCACUGCUGGGGCUCAAAGAUACCAGGUGAUGGUGAAGCCCAGAGUCACAUGAGUAGGAUGGUUUGAACAAGUUGUGGGGCUAGUCUUCAAGCUUGAAGCACUGGCUAAGGCCAUGGCUGUAGGUGGCCACCAGGCAAAGGGUUUAUUUUUAUUUCAUGAAUGAAAAAUAAAUUUGAGGUUUAAGAUUUAUGAGAAUUAUAAGCAAAUAUGUUUGCAGAUAUGAUAAGGAAAAAUUGUCGGUAAUCAAUCAAUUCAUGUAACUUUGUAUUAUCACAGAAAGUAGCUCUUCCCUUGUAGAAAAGGGAAUAUAAAUAUAAAUAUAAAAAAGAUGGAGAGUUCCCUGGUGGUCUAGUGGUUAGGAUUUGGUGCAUUCACCAUUGUGACCUGGGUUCAAUCCCUGUCUGGGAACUGAAAUCCCCCAUCAAGCCACUGCACACCACAGCCAAAUAAAUAAAUAAGUAAAUAAAAAUUAAGAUAAAAAGAAAGAUUAAGAAGAUAAAAAUUAGUCAUAAUCCUGUCACCAAGGGACCAUCACUAUUACCAUACCUCCAGUAUUUUGCAAAUAAUAAUUUCUUUUUCAAAAUAAGAAUCCAUUCUGCAUAUUCUUUUGUAACCUGUAUUUUUUAAGCAGCUCUAUAUUGAGAACAUUAUAUCAUGUCAUGGCCUUUUAUGGUAUCCUCUAUGCCAUACACCAUAAGGUGGGCACAUGAUAUAUUAACUUAAAUAAGCCCUUUUAGUUGGACAUUGAGGUUGUUUCCCUUUUAACUUCACUACAAAGAAUAGUUUUGCUUUUAAUUUUGGAUGAUCCCUGUUUGUGUAGUUUAAACAAAGACCUGGCCUGUGGAAGGCUGGGCUUUGGGCUGAAGAAGUGGUAGGUUGGGGAAGUCUGGAGUCUGAGUCUAUUGUUAACUUCUCUUCUCUGACUAAUCAGAUAACCAUUUGCUCCCUCCGUAUCUCCUCUGGCAAAAUGAGAAGUUCCAUAAUCCUGAAACUUCUCAAACUUUCAGGAACAUUUAGGGAAAAGUCUGUGUUGAUUGAUGUGGAAGCGGUGUCAUGGGGCCUCUCGAGUGUGGGAGACCUGUCUCCUUUUGUUGCUUCAGAAAUGGAUUCUUGGUCUUUAAAACUCCCCUGUUCUUUUUCUGUGCUUUUUCCCCUCUACCUCCAUCCCAAAUUGACAGUCCAGAGCACUAGUUUAUUGGUUCUUAUUCCAAUGAAAGAGGUGGUCUUUUUCCCCUUAGUAGUCAUAGCCAUAGCCACAACCACAAUUGAAUUCUCCUUCCACCCAAAGCAUGGGUCUAUUUCAGCCCAGCAGAUAAACCAAUUUAUUCCUGAUGCUUGUGUUGGAGCCACACCUCUUCACCCUGACAGAGGAAUUACUUUUCAGAUGGAGGCUACUCUAAGUAGGUUUGCAUUUGGGAUGCCCCCAAACUAACCUGCUCCUUCUGGCUGCUUCUAGCUAACUGCCAAUCCAGGAGCAUUUGUGUGGAAACAGUGGAGCAUGCCCCCUAUGGUCUGCAACAGAAAUAUAACCACAAUGUCAAGAAAAUUAACAUGGCACAGCCUAAGCAUCCUGAUUGUAAGCAGUCAAUGUAUAAGACCUGGAGAUACAUUAGCUCAGAAGGGUCCUUUUGCUUCUUUACAGACCCCUUAGCUUGUAGGCAGCCAUCCCACCGCAUUUCUUUUCUCUUACAGGUUUCCCUUAAAUUUUUCUUGGAAUUAAAAACAUGUAGGAUUUUAAAAAUUACUUAAGGCUUAUAGUCCUAGUUGCAUAAGAAAGAAAUCUCAAUAGGAUUAUCUGUCUAUCUCUCUUGCUGCUUCUUCUUCUUUUUUUUUUUUUUUUUUAAAGCAAAUCAGGUUUAGUUACUUUGCAUUUUAAGCCUCAUUAUGCAAUUGAUCUGUGAGGCCAGUGCUUGCAUCCCAGACACACUUGACCUAGGGAAACUGGAAACUCCUUUAUUUCAGGCAGAUCCUGCCAAGACUUUUUCUUCUUUUAUAGGAUUUGGGAAAUGUUUCUGAUUAUUUAGGACAUUUUAAUUUAAUUUAUCUGAUGAAGCAUUUUACAGUGAAGCCUGGUCUAGCACCUUAGGCCAGGGUGCUUCAGUGAGUGUAGUGUAGGAUUGUGUUCAAGGUCAUGGGCAGAAAUGUAACCACUGUGUCUACGGCAGAAAUGCUGGCCACAUUGAAAUCAUCCACUGGGUCCUGUUUUCUUUCCUCCUCCUCUUCCUAACUUUACUUUAUCCUCCUCCUUUAAUGAAAUCAGCUUAUAUUAUAUGACCCAAAUGUAGAAUUACCACACUUGCCUUUUCCCACACAAAACAAAACAACAAAAUUAGAUGAUUAAAUGAACUAGAGCAGUGAAUUUACUUCUUGGUCAAUAAGUACAAUGCUUCGAUUUCAAAAAACCUGAUUUUUUUCUAUGUUUAUAAUUUGGGGAGAGAGAUUUCUUAUUCUUUCUGAUGUAAUUCUGUAUAUAUAUUCAGAAAAACCUCCAGUUGUAAUUUUAUUUUUUUCACUCCCUGUGACUGUCCAAGUUGUGGCCUAAGCCUUAAUUAGCCCUGGUUGAUGUUUAGUCCUGGCUAAAUUUGCUUGUUGCUCAGCCCCAGGAGUAAGCCUGCGGGUGGUCACAUACUGAAUGGAUGUUUCAUCUUGUAGGAAAUACUUGGGAAUAAUAAGCCAGAAUGGGGUGAAUGAAAUGGACAAUUGGGAACCUUGCUCCACUUUACAAAAAAAAAAA